rnacentral:lncRNA from 1 species
CCGAGGCGCGAGGGCGUCCUAAGCAGUGGGACUUGGGUAGUUGAAAGAAAGCUGAAAAACAGCCAUUUUGAUCCAUGAUUUUGAAAAAAGGGCCUCAUUUCCCAGGUGAGGCGGAUCCCCGCUGCGUGGUGGGGAGCCCAGGGGCUGGCGACAGGAGGUGCGCGUGUGCAGCGGCCGGCACAGGGGCCUCGCGUUUAGGCGUGGCCCGGGGAGUGCCAGGCCAGCCGGGGCCACACCCGGGGCCGCUUGUUCCCUGCCCCUCCUCACUGCCAAUCCUCCCGCAUCUGCCCAGCACCACUGUCGCCGCUGCGGGAAGUGCUUCUGCGACAGGUGCUGCAGCCAGAAGGUGCCGCUGCGGCGCAUGUGCUUUGUGGACCCCGUGCGGCAGUGCGCGGAGUGCGCCCUCGUGUCCCUCAAGGAGGCGGAGUUCUACGACAAGCAGCUCAAAGUGCUCCUGAGCGAUACUUGUUUCUGGAUGGAGACAGCCACUAUGAAAUCGAAAUUGUACACAUUUCCACCGUGCAGAUCCUCACAGAAGGCUUCCCUCCUGGAGGUAAAUGCCAGCACGUCCUUUCCUAAGCCAGGAGGGUUUGGUGCCAUGCGUGGGUGACAAGAGGAGCAUGCACUUUUGGGAUCAGGCAGCUGCCCUGAGGAGUGGGGUCUGCUGGGUUUCCAGGACAAUCUGCCUUUCCUCUUUCGCGGGGCGUGUAUUUACUCAGUGGCUUUAGAACUCGCCAGGUGAGUGGAGACUUAAACUGUAAGACAACAAAGGGACAUUUGCCUCAGCAUGUCAUAAUGAUUUCCUCUGCUCUAAAUGCUCUAACGUAUCAUUCGGUUUAUUGUUGGAUUCAAACCAAGGAUAAAGCCCCAAAUGCAAUAACUGAGAUCCCCAAAAAGGUCUGAAUGGUGGCUCAUCGGGAGCCAGCACUUCAGCCCUCCUCCUGCAGGCGUCUGUGCAGACUAAACCCCUGGUGCAUUUCCUGGUGAGCUUUGGCCCAUCCUGGGCCUCUCCACUAAACUCUGCUGACGGGGAGCUCGCAUCCCGUUAUCUGCAAACUGUGCUGACAGAUGCGUGUGCCGUAACCCAUGUUGCUUUCCUUCCGUUCUCUCACCGGCUCUUGGUUGCUCCUUCUCGCCACUGCCUGCCCACCUUCUUGCCAUAGAAAAAGACAUUCACGCUUACACCAGCCUCCGGGGGAGCCAGCCUGCCUCUGAAGGUCAGCCUCUUCCUCCUCACCGGGGCUCCCCGCAUGCAGCGGGCCCGUUCCUCCCCUCGCCACCUGGCUUCUGUCCACGGGGUGGUCCAUGCCAAGGUUCUUUGUGAAACCUGAAUUCACUUACUUUGGUUGACUUAAGAGAGAUGUUGGAUCUGAUAAGUGGGUUUAUAAAGCAUAAAUGAAGAUACCGCAGCAGAUGUACUUUCUCAGUUCUGUCUCAGCGGGAGGGUUACCCAGCAAUUGACAGCUCUCUGUCAGUACCUGCCAGCCCUGAACAGGCUGAGGCCAGGGGGCGUGGGGGCUCACCUGCCCUUGGGAGCCUCUGCCAACACUGCCCUUCCCCCCGAGGCCUGCUGCUCCCCAGCUCAGUGUGGCCUCCUGGGACCCCUGACUCUCCUGGCACUUCUGUCAGCCUCCUGGAUGGUGAGGUGAGAUGCCCAGGCCAGUGUUCUGUCCUGAGCUCAGGGAUGUGUGUGGAGCCGGGAUGGCAUCAAGCUGGUUGCCUUGAGCAGGCUGCAAGGUAUAGAUGCCCAGGUGCAAAGGGUAGGGUCUGGAGAAGCGGGGGUCACCCCAGGCACCCCUCUCUGCCUGCCUCCUCCUGGGGAGCCUGAGGCUCAGAUGAAGGCCAGUGUUUAGGGGCAUCAGAUGAAGGCCAGUGCCUCAGGAGGCCAGGGCAACACAGCCUCCCGGACUGCUCUCCCGGGCAGACCCUCCCCAGGGCUUCUGGCACUGUGUCCCCCUUGUGGUGGCUUGGGGGGUGCAGUGAGCCCCGCUCUGCCCAGUCUCAGUAGAGCCCUUCAGACCCCAGCACCCUGUCUUCCGGUGGGGGUGGGGACAAUAGGAACAGUCCCCUGACCUGAAGGCAGCCAAGGGGCCGCCUGCCAGCCUGGGCCCUGUAGGGCAGGCCACACACUCAUUCUUUCAAGGCCAGAUAGUAAACCUUUGCCAGCCACGUGUGCUGUGGUGAAGGCGGAGGCGGCUGCAGAAGACAGGGUGACAGACGGCCAUGGCUAUGAUCCAGUGGUGCUUUAUCAGGCAAAUGCAGGCGGUAGGCAGAGCCAUGGUCGCCCUGCUCUAGAGCCUAGGCAGGACGUUACACUGACAGGCAAGGUUCCCCAGUGUUGGGGGUGGGGGUGCGUGCCCUAACCACAGAACCGGGCUUAUGAAAGUGUGGUUCUAGAGGCCCGGCAUGGUGGCCCACGCCUGUAACCCCAGCACUUUGGGAGACUGAGGCGGGCAGAUCACCUGAGGUCAGGAGUUCGAGACCAGCCUGGGCAACAUGGUGAAACCCUGUCUGUACUAAAAAUACAAAAAUUAGCUGGGUGUGGUGGUGGGUGCCUGUAGUCCCAGCUACUCGGGAGGCUGAGGCAGGAGAAUCGCUUGAACCCAGGAGGCGGAGGUUGCAGUGAGCUGAGAUGGCACCACUGCACUCCAGCCUGGGCAACAGAGACUCAAAAAAUAAUUAAAAUAAAGCCAGGCACGGUGGCUCAUGCCUAUAAUCCUAGCACUUUGGGAGGUUAAGGCGGGCAGAUCACCUGAGGUUGGGAGUUCGAAACCAGCCUGACCAUCAUGGAGAAACCCCGUCUCUACUAACAAUAC